rnacentral:rRNA from 1 species
UACGUAGGGUGCAAGCGUUGUCCGGAAUUAUUGGGCGUAAAGAGCUCGUAGGCGGUUUGUCGCGUCUGCUGUGAAAACUCGGGGCUUAACUCCGGGCCUGCAGUGGGUACGGGCAGACUAGAGUGCGGUAGGGGAGACUGGAAUUCCUGGUGUAGCGGUGGAAUGCGCAGAUAUCAGGAGGAACACCGAUGGCGAAGGCAGGUCUCUGGGCCUUACCUGACGCUGAGGAGCGAAAGCGUGGGGAGCGAACAGG